GACGAACGCUGGCGGCGUGCUUAACACAUGCAAGUCGAACGGUAAGGCCCUUCGGGGUACACGAGUGGCGAACGGGUGAGUAACACGUGGGUGAUCUGCCCUGCACUUCGGGAUAAGCCUGGGAAACUGGGUCUAAUACCGGAUAGGACCACUGCCUGCAUGGGUGGUGGUGGAAAGCUUUUGCGGUGUGGGAUGGGCCCGCGGCCUAUCAGCUUGUUGGUGGGGUGAUGGCCUACCAAGGCGACGACGGGUAGCCGGCCUGAGAGGGUGACCGGCCACACUGGGACUGAGAUACGGCCCAGACUCCUACGGGAGGCGGCAGUGGGGAAUAUUGCACAAUGGGCGCAAGACUGAUGCAGCGACGCCGCGUGAGGGAUGACGGCCUUCGGGUUGUAAACCUCUUUCAGCACCGACGAAGCGCAAGUGACGGUAGGUGCAGAAGAAGGACCGGCCAACUACGUGCCAGCAGCCGCGGUAA
rnacentral:rRNA from 1 species